UAGAUGGCAAUGCAUUUGCAGUACAAUCUUUUCUGAUAGAGUUUUCAUACUAAUCUUCCAAUUUAAUAUGGUUAAGUACAAAACCUCUAGAACUGAAGAGUUCCCACAAAUUCUAAUAGAUUCCGCGUCCAAUUCCAGUUCCAAAUAGAAAAUUGGAGAUGCCCAGUAGAGAUUAAGUGUUGGUAAUAACAAGAUUAAAAAGAUGGAAGUAACUUCUUCGAAUUUUCAAGAAGUCUUGAUAGAAUUGGACGACGUUUUAAAGAAUGCAUCAUUCAUUGGAAUUGAUGGAGAAUUUACAGGCCUUCAUUCGGGACCUGAUCCUGGUGCCUUUGAUACACCUGCUCAGUAUUACGCAAAAUUGAGAGCAGGCUCAAUGGACUUUCUUCUUGUACAGUUUGGCCUUUCUGUUUUUACAUUUGAUAAAGAAGCGAAUAAGUACAAUCAACGAUCAUAUAACUUUUACGUUUUUCCACGGCCCUUAAAUUGUGCAGCUCCGGAUUGUAGAUUUAUGUGUCAAACGUCAUGCUUAUCAUUUCUGGCUAAUCAAGGAUUUGAUUUUAAUAAACUUUUCAAAUUGGGUAUUCCUUAUUUAACUAUGACCGAAGAGGAAAAGUUAACAAAACGUUUAGAGAAAAGGCAAAAGCUCAAAGAGGAGACACCAGAAUUAGUACCAAUUACAGACGAUGAUAAACCACAAAUUGAAGAUAUUUGUUCGAGGAUACAAGAAUUUACCGAGUCUGAGACUGAAGAAUUGACGAUAGAAAAAUGUAACGCUUACAUGAGACGACUCGUACAUCAAGAAGUAAGAAUAAGAUGGCCAAAUAAGUUGAAAGUUGAAAAUAGAUUAGAAAAUUUUGGGUGCACUCUUGUAGUACAAAGAUUAGGAACCAAAGAAGAAGAGGAAGAGAAAGAAAUUAAGAGAAAGGAGAAAGAAAAGUUAGAGAUUCAACAAGCUGUUGGAUUAAGUAUGCUUAUGAGAAAAAUUGCAGACUCUGGGAAGUUAAUAGUUGGUCAUAACAUGUUGUUAGACCUUUGUCAUAUAGUCCAUCAAUUUUUCGGACAAUUACCAGAAAAUUAUUUGGAAUUUAAGGCACUCGUCCACAGCCUGUUCCCUAAAGUUUUAGAUACGAAAAUAAUUUGUCAUUCACAGCAGUUCAGGGAGUGCGUACCAUCGUCAAAUUUAAAUAUAUUACUAGAAACAAUUAGUAAAUCCCCGUUUAAAGUUCCAGAAGUAGAAUCUAUUGAUGGCAGAGGUUAUUCUAUGUUAGCAGAAAAAUGUCAUGAGGCUGGUUAUGAUGCGUAUAUUACUGGAAUAUGUUUCAUUGCAUUAUCAAAUUAUUUAGGUUCUUUACAAACACCUGAAAUUUCAGUAGUCCUAUCAGAUUCGCCUCUACUUGAACCGUUUUUAAAUAAACUUGUUAUAGCAAGAUUAAAAGAUAUUCCAUAUAUAAAUCUCACUGGAGAUGAUCCAAACCCUAGUAGAGAUCACGUGUUCCAUUUAACAUUCCCAAAAGAGUGGAAACUUAAUGAUAUAUGUCAGUUAUUUAGUCCAUUCGGAGGUGUUCAUGUGUCAUGGUUAUCCGAUACGACAGCGUACGUAGGAUUAAAUCGUCGUGAACAAGUUAACGCAGUAGUAAAGAAUCUACGUAAAACAAACGUAUAUCAGAUUAAAAGGUAUGCUGAAUAUCAAGCAACGUCAGAAGUGAACCUCACUACAGGAGAACGCAAAAGAAAAUUAUCUCCAGUUGAGCCUGUUCCAGUGAAAAAAGAGAAGACCUCUGUGCCAAUGAACGGCGUGAAACCAGAACCGGCCGACGAUGGGUGGCAAAUAGCUACAGGAAAACGGCGCAGGAAGCAGAAGAAUCCUCUGGAUGCUAAUGCUGCUCGUGGAUCGGACCAGAAAAAAAUUUUUGCUGAGACUCAUUCGUGGGAUUAAUUCGUUCAACUACAAUUCUUAGAACAUAUCACACCACAUACUGUAUGUUCAUUACUUACUUGACACGACGUUCUGAGAAAGGAAAAAGGAAUUUGUGAUAAUCUCUAGAAGACAAACUACUGAAGAUUUGAAACGAGAUCAUCACCAUAAGGUGCUUGGAGGUACAACGAUGGAGGGGAGUGCAUAAAUCAAUACUGGCUAUGCUUUUGAAUGUGCGCUUUCAAUAUGAUACAAGAUGCAACAUUUAAAGAAACUAAAAGUCUCUUGAAGUAUGAAAAUGAGAAUAAUGGAUAUUGAAAUAUAAAAGUCUAGAAAUACAAAAAUAAUUUGAUUUAUCGAAAAAGGCAGUCUCUUUACUCGAUGGGACUGAGUCUUUUCAUGGAACUCGAAUCAGAUGUGAAACUCUGUUCAAGAGUAUCUAUUUUGUGAUACUAAAUGUCCCUCAAGUGCAAUAUACUGCCAUUCCUUGUACAACUCCGUUUCUUGUGAUCUGUUAAACUAUUGUGAUCCCCCUGCAUUGGGAUAUUAUAUUUGAAUACAGAUUUCAAAGAUACUAAUACUACAUUCUUUUGUUAAAUUGAACUCAAGCUUAGCGAUAAACAUGCAGCUUUACUCUCGUUACAACUUCGUAUGAUCCAAUGAGUGGCCCCGAAAGGGACCGAUUACUGCCGGAAGUUACACCAGGAGUGGGUCAAUAUGGCCACCCCUAGUAGAAACACACGUCCGCAAUCUCUUUACAAUAUUGUCCUGUACCCGCCGCAAUAAGUCAGGUGUGAUUUUGGCAACCGCGCCGUGGAUGCAGGCUACCACCUCCUCCGGCGUGGUCACGUCAUCACAGUACACCUCAUUCUUCAACAAUUAAAAUAAAAUGCAAAUUGUUAAUUUUUGAAUUGUUAUCAGUCGUUAAUUGUGAAUAGUUAUCAUACCUUCAAGAAUCCCCAGAAAAAGAAGUCUAGCGGAUUCAAAUUCGGGGAUCUUGGGGGGUCACGCAACCGGUCAAUCCACCUGUCUUGGAAGGCUUCGUCUAAGUACGACCUGACAUUAGCGGCAUAAUAAGUAGGCGCACCAUCAUGUUGCAA
rnacentral:misc_RNA from 1 species